CCUACGGGGGGCAGCAGUGGGGAAUAUUGCACAAUGGGCGCAAGCCUGAUGCAGCCAUGCCGCGUGUAUGAAGAAGGCCUUCGGGUUGUAAAGUACCUUCAGUGGGGAGGAAGGCGAUAAGGUUAAUAACCUUGUCGAUUGACGUUACCCGCAGAAGAAGCACCGGCUAACUCCGUGCCAGCAGCCGCGGUAAUACGGAGGGUGCAAGCGUUAAUCGGAAUUACUGGGCGUAAAGCGCACGCAGGCGGUUUGUUAAGUCAGAUGUGAAAUCCCCGGGCUCAACCUGGGAACUGCAUCUGAUACUGGCAAGCUUGAGUCUCGUAGAGGGGGGUAGAAUUCCAGGUGUAGCGGUGAAAUGCGUAGAGAUCUGGAGGAAUACCGGUGGCGAAGGCGGCCCCCUGGACGAAGACUGACGCUCAGGUGCGAAAGCGUGGGGAGCAAACAGGAUUAGAUACCCGUGUAGUC
rnacentral:rRNA from 1 species